CUGAGGCGCGCGACCUGCGGACACCUGUUGAUUGAUGACGUCACGGCUAAUUGCUCGCUCUUUUUUACUCGGGUAUGAGCGACAGCUUACAAGAUUUAUCAAGAGUUGGCUGCACUCUGACCGCUCCCACUCCCGCUGCCGCACACUGCCAUCAUGGAGGACUCCUCAGAGUCCGGCCGCCCCCCUGCUCCACCCACUCCUCUGGGCGGAGGCCCCCCGGUGAGCAUCGCCCCCACUCCCACGCUUCCCUGCGGCGGGUUGUUAUUGUUGUUGCUGCCGGCGUAGCACGGAGGGAUGUAUCCCAAACCGGAGGCAGCGACCAUGCUGUCCUGGGAGGCCGGGGCCUGGGGCAACUGUUGCUGGGAAGCGGAAGGGGGCUGCUGGGGGGCCAUGACUGUCCUAGUCCGAAAGGCAGAGAGGCCCAGGUGGAGGUUGGAGGAGCCGUACUGACUGGAGUCCAAGCUCGACGGGGGCGGCUGCAUGAUGGAAGACUGACCCAGGUGGUGGUGGUGGGUGAGGCUGAGCUCGAUGCUGUCCUGCAUCUGCGGGGAGGAGACGGGCAUCAGCGCUGUGCCCUGCUGGCCCUGCGAGGCCUGGCCCUGCGGCUGGUUCUGCUGCUGCUGCUGCUGUCGAAGCUGUCUGCCGUUGCUGUGGUGGCUGCCGUAGAUGGGGUGAGGGUGGUGCGGCUCCAUCAUGCCCCCGAUGUUGCCCAGGAAGUGGCGCGAGUGCUGCGUGGCCGCCGGCUUGUGCAACAGCAGCUGCGGGUAGGAGGAGUCGCUGCCGCUGU
rnacentral:lncRNA from 1 species